AAACCCUAAACACUCCCAUUCAUCCAAGUGACUAUGCGGCAGGAGACCCCCCCCCCCCCCGGUCGAAACCCUUCCUCUUGAAGAUCAUAUCUUGUGCCUAGCCCUAUUCAUAGCCUGGAUUUGGUUGACCAACUUGGAACGGGUAACGUAACGUAGCAUACCGAGCAGUCUAAGGUCGUUAGGUAUCUUGGAAGUGGGAAGCUUGCUAUCUGGGAGUGCUGGAGUGGUCAUGGAUCGAGGCUCUUGGAUUAAAAUACACUUAAUACAUUGGUUUUUAAGCGUUAUUACGAAA